rnacentral:lncRNA from 1 species
GCCUGGAGUCAGUACCAGGACCUUUAACCUGUGAGCCUUUGGGACCACUUGAGAUCCUGCUACACCAAGUCAGGAGGGGAGUUGACCUCCAUUUACUCCUGGCUGCAAGGCCCAGGGAAGGAGGCUUAUCUUACCCAAAGGCAUUAGGAUGCAGGUGAUGGGUACUUAGGGAAGAGGAGGGGAGGUGGGUUGGCUUUAACUUGAGGGUUUGAAGAGGACAGACUGCAGUACUGCAAGAUGCCACCACGGACUUGGCACACUCAGACGGCAGUGCUUGAAGAAAUGGGAUUGGCAGGAGGCUAAUAUGGAGGAGGCCAAAGAGGAGUCUGGGGUUCCUGGACUCAGCCAUGCAGAACUUGGGAGCUUGGGGUGCUCUUGGCCUGAGGACCUGAGAGAAAGGGUGGUAGGUGACAGGGUCUCAAUAAAUAGCUCUG